UUAACACCUCAGGAAUGGUAACAUCUCAGGGACCGUAUCAUCCUAGGAACAGUUACAUCUCGGGAACGGUAACAUCUCGGAAACUUUAUAAUCUUAGCGGUGUCACCUCAGGAACAGUAUCAUCUCGGGAGUGGUGUCACCUCAGGAACAGUAUCAUCUCGGGAGUGGUGUCACCUCAGCAUUAGUAUCACCUCAGGAAUGAUAUCAGCUCAAGGACUGUGACAUCUCAGAAACUGUACCAUCUUAAGGAAUGUAACAUCUCAGGGAUGGCAUCAUCUCAGCUCAGGACAAUCACUGAGGAACAAGUGGCGGCUCUAUAGAGAGACCGAAGUAUAUUUCUGAAAAUAUUUCACUAAAAAGGUAAAAUCCAGAGCCGUAAAAGCCGACACUUAUCAUUACGGCAGAAGGAGUUACCACGAGCUGACAGCCAUGUCUAGGGCUCGGUGAGCAUUACAUGGAUUGUAUCUGUCUUCUCCUGGAUCGCGUCCAGCAGAUAAUGAUGAACGCAGUUUGUUUCAUUUUACGACGUGAAUUUCAUCUGAAGAGACUUCAUGUGAAUCCACAACAUAUCAACUGGAUGGACUAUAACAACCAGGAAGAGGGACUAUUGUCUCCUGAUAGGGAUCUACUAGGUCAACAGGUUCUCCUUUGUAGGCACUGUAUGGCAGUAUUAUGUAGAAACCGAUCCAUCAGUGACGUCUCCACCAGAGGCCGGAAACACCACGGAGUCAGCAGAGAAUUGUGGAUUUCUGUGGGAACCUCAGAACAGGCCGGGCGCUCAUUUCCUGCUCCCCUUGGUGAAUCUUUUUUUGCUGUGGAUUUGUGGUUGACCCCAUGAAUUUCAUGUUACAGUCUCUUCAAACCCUGAUGUAUCCUGGAACUGGAUGGAGAGGAAGAUUAACCCUUGAAUAACACGAGGCUAUAUUAGCACAGUUGUGCAAAAUGCAGUAAAAAAAAGUGUGAAAAAUACUGUAAAAAUUCACAAUGUGCAAACUUUGCACUUUGUAUAAAAAAAAAGCAUCAAAACUGCACAUAAUGUGAACUGACCUCAACCCAGUUACGAGUCUAAUCAGUUUACCUGGGUGAUCUCCAGCACCAGCAGCCUAAUAAGAUGACCAGUUGCAGUGAUCAGACUCCACACACCCUCUCUGCAAAGCCAGAGGAUUCAUGGGAAAAUGUAGGCAGCAUUAGGAAAUCAUUUCAGUUAUGGAAUAGAAUCAGUAUGGCUGGAAACCUCAUGCCUGCCACAUCUGCUAAAACAGGGGGGCCAGGCCCAGCAUUGCGCACUUAGCAGAGGAAGCCGGUGGGAAAUAUUUCUGCAACAACCGAACUAAUGGCUGCAAAGCCCGAGCCAAAGAAAAUAUUGGAAGGGCCCGGCUCAUCUCCUGUGACAAUGACAGCGAAUCUGAAAGAAGACAAAAUCCACAGAAUUUGCAUGAAGGCGAGUGAGGAAAUGUACUUAGAGCAUUGUCCAGGGCUGAACUCUAGGAGAGCAAACUCUGCAACAGGGAAGACGUUCUACAAUGGAGACUGGGUGGUGGGAAAGGCUGGUCGAUUCCACCUCGGCCAUGGUCACAUGACUGCAUUCUGGUUAUCGUGCGAACAUGAAUGGGAUACGAAUAAGUCAUAAGGUCAUUUACACGGAGAGCGUAUGACAUCACAGUAAAUACAUGUUAUGACCCCCAUAUUACCACGACUAUGACCGGAAAUUAUACAGUCAGCAGCUGUAGCAUUUAUGAGGAUGGUAAAGUUGCUCAAUUCUAUAGCAGUGUUUCCUAACCAGGGUGCCUCCAGCUGUUGUAAAACUACAACUCCCAGCAUGCCCGGACAGCUUCCCCUGGAUGGGAAACACUGUUCUAGAGCAAUAUUCCCCAUCCUGGGCAGCCAAAGACUAGGAGGUUCUUUAGGAAUCAAAUUGAACUAAACUAAUUCUCUGUUGGUCCCCAUGUUAGCCCCUGCCACCUUCGGACCCCAUGUUAUCCCCUGCCACCUCUAGUCCCCAUGUUAUCCCCUGCCACCUCUAGUCCCCAUGUUAGCCCCUGAAAUCUUCAGCCCCCAUGUUAGCCCCUUAAACCUCCGGCCCUCAUGUUAGCCCCUGCCACCUCUGGUAUCCAUGUUAGCCCCUGUCACCUCUGGUCCCCAUGUUAGCCCAUGCUACCUUUGGCUUCUAUGUUAGCCGCUGCCAUAUUUGGUCCCUAUGUUAGCCCCCGCCACAUUCAGUCCCCUUGUUAGCCCCAACCACCUUCAGUCCCCAUGGUAGCCCCUGCCACCUUCAGUCGCCUUGUUGGUUCCUACAACCUCCUUACAGCAGCCUGGUGCACAAGUAUGGAAUUCCCCAUCACCAUGUUGUUUAACUACACAGUAACUGCAGCCAUUUCACACAGUGUAAAUGCAAAGCACAUGCACAAAACACAAGUCCUAUUCAGCCAUAUUAAAACUUUUAUCUGUAUCUAGGAAAGCUGAGUGACAUAUAGCAUUAGGGUGCAUUGUCCUGCCUUUACAGUCUGGUAUAGAUGCACCCGUAGGGAUUGGUAUUCAGCUUUCCCAGGGUCGUUGUUAAGCAGCGACAUUCGGCAGUGACCCCCGUCUGACUUCCUUUAUUUUAUUUUAGUUUCUUGCAGUCUGUGUUAUUUCUGUCGGCCAGAACCUGUAUAAUAAUAAUCAUGAAAAAAAACAACAGUCAUUACUCCAGAGUCAGGACAAAUAAUUUCGCGUAUUUCCCUGCUGCGUCCAGAACGCGACCACUUCCUGCCAGGUUGUACGUACCAGACAGAACCUAAAAAAAACAUCAUCCCAGGACACCAUCAUUUAUUUUCUCUUUGUUUUUCUAUUUUGUUGUUGAUCAGCUGACUAAUAUCCUUCUAAAAGCAGUCAGAUGUUCAAGCCUCUUCAGUGCCCCUCCCUUCUCUGGUCCUCAUGUUUGCCCCUACUACCUCCGGUCCACAUGUAAGCCGUUGCCACCUCUGACCCCCACACUAGUUCCUGCCACUUCUGGUCCCCAUGUUAGCCCCUGCCACUUCUGGUAAGCCCUUGCCAUCUUCUGGUCCCCAUGUUAGCCCUUGCCAUCUUCUGGUCCCCAUGUUAGCCCCCGCAACCUCCAGUCCCCUUAUUAGCCCUUACUAUUUCCAGUCCCCAUAUUAGCCCCUACCACCUCCAGUCCUCCUGCUACCUCCUUACAGCAGCAUGGUGCACAAGUCUGGAAUUCCCCACUGCCAUGUUGUUUAACUACACAGUAAUUUCACACAAUGUAAAUACAGUGUAAGUGCACAAAAUACAGUUUGGCACAGGAAAUCACAUUUUAACACAGGGCAACAGAAAAUAAAGCGUGUAGGGAAAUAUCCAUGGCGUGACCAUGGGGUGUAGCGGUGUAGGUGGUGGGGCCAGAUGGUAUUAACCCCUGGAGCAAGAUGUUUUUAACCCUUAGUGUUCGUGACGCCAGGAUGUGGUUGUCUGGUGUAGGGCACCACCAACAAUCAAGCCAGAAACGGCAUAUAGUAAAUGAUAGUCCAAAGCAGGUUUUGAUGCAACUGGAACCUUACUGAAGAAGGCAGCAUAACGUUUCUUACAGAGGUGACCGGGACACAGGGAACCUCUCAGGCUUGGACUUGUAGUGGUAAUGAUGAUGAGGCAGCCCUUCACUUCUGUUAUGACUUUGGUAGGGACAGUAGAGACUUGACUUGUAGACAUAGAGUAACAGAUUAGAUGUGGCUGCAGACUUGUAGGCUUUGGCCUAGCUGUACUGGAUGGAACUUGCACAGGACUUUACUGUCCAGGAACUAAAAGACCUAGUGUGGAGACUACAGCCCUUUAUAUAUCAGGGGCUCGACUAAAGCCCAUUGGUAGCUGUUGCCUGUGGUUGCAUGUGCAUCUGGAACUCUGGGUAUCAGGUGAUCGCAUCACAUGACCAUGUCACAUGACCUUAGGAAGGUCCUAUGCAGUGUAAACAUCCUAAUAACCUUUCCACAUAGUUUAUUGUCACUGUACAAUACCGAUAAUAAACAUACAGAAUUAAUGUAUGUCAGGCCCAAGGCCUGAUUAUUAAAAUCCUAUAUGUGUAUUAUAAAUUAUAACUGUGUGUGAUGUAUUAUCCAAGACAUGGGUGAGAGGUCAUUCAGACGGUGUAUCCUUUUGUGUAUUGCAUUUUAUUGGGGGUCUGGCUGUUUGUUUGUAUCUCCUUUGAAGUCAGAGGCCCUUUGAAGCAGCAGGAUGUAAGGGGCACUCUGGUCCCAUCAUAUAAUCAACCAGAUAAGGGCCAGGAACAGAGAUGCCCCCCUGGUGGGAUCAGAGGGGAGGGGGAAAUGGAGUCUCCCUCCAAAAAGGCAGAUAUAUAAUAUUUAACAAUGCUAGACUCAGGGUGUUAAAUUCUGUGCCAAAAGCUGACAAGAGCUUUACUCUCACUGACAAGGACUGCUAUAUCAUCAUGCUGUAAGGACUUCAUUUUUGCUUUCUGAACUUGUC